UAAGCAGUUCAUUUGGUGGCUCCUCAACUCAGAGCGUCCCUUCGGUUCGUAUGGAAGCUAGGUGUGCCAUCCGAUCGGCACUACGAUUUCCUUCCCUCUAGUCGAUCCACCUCCCUGUAUCGCUUCGACAGCCCAUCGAGCAUCUACUUCGACUACUAAGUUUGUCGCUCCCAGGGUUUUCGCAAGACCACCUGCGGUAGCCAUACCCGUGCUUGCUUUGUAAGCCCGGUCUGAGUUCAAGAUCCAGUGUUCACUUGGUGGUUUCCUCCAUUUUACCCAUUUGGGUUCACAGGUAAUCCACUAUGUUUUAUGUUGUUCUUUGCUUGGGAGAUUUCUUUUGUUAGAUUGUUGCUGUUGUUUAUCAACUGAGUUGUGUUGGGAUUAUUGUUUUUAAAUAUUGUUUCGUUUCUGGUUU